AGGGUGUUGACGCAAUGUGAUUUCUGCCCAGUGCUCUGAAUGUCAACGUGAAGAAAUUCAAAAAAGCGCGGGUAAACGGCGGGAGUAACUAUGACUCUCUUAAGUAGCCAAAUGCCUCGUCAUCUAAUUAGUGACGCGCAUGAAUGGAUUAACGAGAUUCCCUCUGUCCCUAUCUACUUCCCGCAGGGAGGGCUCGCCUUUGCGAGCCUAUGGGGGCUGGCAAACCCACGUUCCCGCAGCCAGGGGGACCGUCGGGACAAGCGUCCCGUUACGUGAGUCCCUAUGUACACCGCAAGGAAGGUUGCCGGCGGAGAGAGGUGGCCACACUCUCUCCAAGGGGCCUUGGGUAGUAGCGCACCCACGAUCCUGAUGCCAAGGGUGGGACCGUCGGGGAAAGUUCAGGGUUUGAGGCGCCCU
rnacentral:misc_RNA from 1 species